CUACGUGAGGAGUGGAAGGUUGGCAAGACCUCUAGGGACGAUGUUUUCAUGAGUUCGGCACAUGUUUUCAAGUGGGAGAAUUAUUUGAAUGAAGCCCAUGUCUGACCAGGCCCAGCCAUAGAACGGCAACCCAGGCCCACGCAUGGAGCACGUGCACGAAAACGCCAGCCCAGGCCCAGGCGGUGUGCGGGCACAGCAUACAC
rnacentral:lncRNA from 1 species